rnacentral:rRNA from 1 species
UACGAAGGGGGCUAGCGUUGCUCGGAAUCACUGGGCGUAAAGGGCGCGUAGGCGGAUGACCAAGUCGGGGGUGAAAUCCCAGGGCUCAACCCUGGAACUGCCUUCGAUACUGGUCGUCUCGAGUUCGGGAGAGGUGAGUGGAACUCCGAGUGUAGAGGUGAAAUUCGUAGAUAUUCGGAAGAACACCAGUGGCGAAGGCGGCUCACUGGCCCGAUACUGACGCUGAGGCGCGAAAGCGUGGGGAGCAAACAGG